UUCACAGCUCACUGCAGCCUCUAUCUCCUGGGCUCAAGGGAUCCUCCAGCCUCAGCCUCCUAAGGAGCCGUGACUACUCAGUUUCUCUAGGAAGGAAUCUCAACUGGGCUUGGAAGCCAUGCAAAAGAUGAUCUUUACCUAAAAUGGCUGAUUUCAAAUUUCCUGUGGAGCCUGAGACCAAACUAUAUCAGAGCAGGAUUCUGCACGCUUGAAGAUCAUCCUUAUCAGGCCACAGAACUUCCGUUGUAUACAGGGACAAAAGAGUUUUACUCCACCCAAGAUGGAGUGCAGUGGCACAAUCCCAGCUCAUUGCACUUCUGCCUCCCAGGCUCAAACAAUCCUCCCACCUGAGCCUCCUGAGUAGCUGGUACUGCAGACUUUCCGACCUACAUACACAUUCAAAAUUGGGGGAAAAAAAAGGCUGGAAGGAAACAGACCAAAUGGGACAACGUUAGUCUGAAAGGCAGUUUCCUGCUUGGGUGGCUGAUGAAGUGUCUGUUCCAAGAUCUCAAAGAAAUAAAUCAGAUGUCAGUGGGGAACCCACACCUGCUUCCUCUCAUGCUGAUAAAGAACAAUUAACUCUCAUCAGAAUGUGUCUGGCUUCGUCCCAGAACUGAGCAUUAUCUGAAAGAAUAUGGCAGGUUUUCUUCUGGCCUAAAAACUACUGGAAGGUCCUAGUCAAGAUGAAAAGUAGAAGAUUCUGUGCCAGACAAAAGUGAUACACUGGCAUAUUCAGCAACCAAAUAGGCCAAACCCGAGGCUAUGGAAAACAAACACACACAUGCUUGAUCUCAUUUCUACUGCUAAUUGGAGGACCUUGAUGGGUCUUUGGAUCUGUCUGUAAAAUCACAGAACUGAAUAUGAGGAGCUUCUAUCAGUGCUGACUAAAGACCACACUUGUAGUCAAAUAAACAGAACAGAACUACCAAAAGUAGGUUUUCUUAGACUUGCUGCAGCAAGGGAGACUGUGUACUCAAGCACAUCUCAGUAGCGGGAGAUAAUAGGGGCUUUUUUUUUUUAAGAGCUAGGGUCUCCCUCUGUUGCCUAGGUUGGAGUGCAGUGGUGUGACCACAGGUCACUGUAAUCUUGAACUCCUGGGCUCUAGCAGUCCUCCCACCUCAGCCUCCCAAGUAGCUAAGGCUACAGGUAUGCACCACCACACUUGGCUAAUUUUUAAAUUUUUUGUAGAGACAUGGUCUCACCAUAUUGCGUAGGCUGGUCUUGAACUCCUGGACUCAAGUGAUCCUCCCACCUCUGCCUCCCAAAGAGCUGGGAUAUAGGUGUGAGCUGCUGAGCCCAGCUGACAGGGGUUUCUUAAAGGGUUUUGGCUUGUGUUGGAACGCUGUGUGGGAGAUUAAGUAAUGGGGGCCAGUUCUGGGAUGGAUGUUAAGAAGCAGGAGUGGCCGGGCGCAGUGGCUCAAGCCUGUAAUCCCAGCACUUUGGGAGGCCGAGGUGGGUGGAUCACGAGGUCAAGAGAUCGAGACCAUCCUGGUCAACAUGGUGAAACCCCGACUCUACUAAAAAUACAAAAAAAUUAGCUGGGUGUGGUGGCACGUGCCUGUAAUCCCAGCUGCUCAGGAGGCUGAGGCAGGAGAAUUGCCUGAGCCCAGGAGGAGGAGGUUGCAGUGAGCCGAGAUUGCGCCAUUGCACUCCAGCCUGGGUAAUAAGAGCAAAACUCCGUCUCAAAAAAAAAAAAAAAAAAAAAAAGCAGGGACAAUUUGGUGACUGAGUAGCUCAUUCAUUGUUAUCUAGGAGGGUUAAAAUGGGGGCUUGAGUUGAUACUGGCAAAGCAUCUGUUCAGAAAGGAAUAAUGCUUGUUAGAAGAAGGGAAUGUUUAGUUAAAUUUUUGUGCUCCAAGACUGGCCUUGUCAAUGUCUUGUUCUGAGUAUUGUUUAUACUGUGCUGGAAACAUGGUUGAUUGUCUAGCAGGGCGGUUUUUUCACUAUCUCAGCUUCAUUCGACUUUAUAAACAACCACCCAACAAACUCAAAUUUGAAUGCACUUUACAACUUAGAAAAUGCUCUUUUUACCUAUGGAGGAGUUCUUUGUGAUGGUGGCAAUUUCUCCAUUCUUAACAACAAGGAAAUUGAAGGUAAGAGAUAUUAAGUGGCUUCCCAGGACCCCAGCUACUUAAGCUUUCAAAUCAGAAAAUAGUAGCAUUCAGCUCUAAGUUAGUUGUGGUUUUGAAUAUUGUUCAUUCCACAAACCUGCACUGAGUACUUACUAAGUUC